AUGGUUCUGGUUAGAAAAAUAAAGAAUGUGAAUUUCUUGGCUCAAACGCAGGUACUAACAGCAAAGGGUACCUUGUCACCUUUGGAGGACUCUGUGCCCUUCAAAGUGAAUUUAGAGGUUCUACGCAC
rfam:Erinaceus europaeus unplaced genomic scaffold scaffold00589, whole genome shotgun sequence